CCCUAUCUCGAAAAACCAAAAGA
rnacentral:piRNA from 1 species